rnacentral:misc_RNA from 1 species
UGUCGAUGCGCAUUUGAGUGGGUGCAGCCAUUGAGCACGUCAGCACGGACAGAAACACGAACGCGUGCAUCAGAGCGAGAAGCCACGUCUCUAGGUCUCUGUCUCUCUCUCUCUUUUCGGACCUCAACAUGGCCACUUCUACCUUAGACCCUCGCAUGGCUUUCCAUGCCCAGCAGCAGGAUCCUGGUGCGCCACAGCCGCGACAGCUGAUCCUACGCUACUUUUACGAGAGCGGUACAGUGGAGCUGAUGGAGGUGCCGAGCGGUCGACUGUACUUGAAGCGCACCGCCGUCGGCAUACCUGCCUCUGCCUUCACCGUUGGCUCGACGGUGAUGCUGUUCGGCAAGGCGACAACCAUCACAGCGUUCGCGGACGAGGUGACGCGGCAACUGUGCGCCCAGUGCAGCGAGUCGACGGCCGUGCUGAUUGCCGAGGAGGCGUUCCCGUUUCUCGGGCGCUACCUGGCGAUGCUAACGGAGGAGUGCUGCUUCACUAUCACGGAUGUGGAGAUGGUCUGGGUGCAGGCGGAGACGGUUUCUGCUUUUGAUUUACCAGAGCAGCUGGCGAACACACGCAUGGUCGUGGUUCUGUGCACUCGGAAGAAGGCGGUGGAGAAGGGCUUCGCCUUUGUGGAGCGAGCCACCGGCACCUGCACCGCCAAAGACGCGGAACAAGCCGCGUUGUGGGGCCAGCUGGGCCAGCUUGCGAAAGCCAAGCCUUUGGCCGUACUUAACGAGGCAAACAGCUCGGUUGUGGUGCUGAAGCCUCACCUGGUCAGCGCUGGACGGGGCGGAAGUGCUUUCCAGCAACUGCUAGACGUAGGACUGGAGCCCACCGCACUCACAACAGUGACCAUGACCAGCGCGGCUGCUCGGGAGUUCAUGGAGCCGUACCGCGGCGUACUACCCGACCUGGAAGGCACGGCUAGCAGCUUCGUAGGCACGAACUGGGUACUGCAGCUCGCCUCACUGGACGAGACGGUGGAUGUAGUGGACACUGUGCGGAACAUCUGCGGCCCCUACGACACGGUCGUCGCCAAGAAGCUCUACCCAAAGUCGAUUCGGGCGUGCUACGGGGACAGCGAGACCGAGAACGCGGUGCACUGCUGCGAUCUACCCGGUGACGGGCCCAUCUACACAAAAUUUUUUUUCCAAGGGUGACAUGCGAAGCGAGGCGGCCGUGCACGGCCUCUUUUUGUGUGCGCACGUGCGUCCCUCAGUGAUUUGUGGUGCCCCUCUCGCUCGGCCGUUGUCCUCCUGAGCUGUCUUGGCUCUUCUGUGUCCUUGUGUGAUUGUGCGCUCUCUAACGAGGCAAACGGGAAGCGGGCAGGACAGCGGUUCAUGACGCUUCCUUUUUUUUUUUGCUGUUUCGCUUCCUCCCGUCUCUCUUUUCGAUGUAAACGACCUCGUGGGCCGCGAGCAGGGCAGAAGGAGGGGGAGAUUCCAGGAGUUGAGUCUAACAGGGACCAAGAAGAAGGCAAAAGGAGAUCUGAAAAUCCCGCGUGCACCUCCCCUUGUGGAUGGGGAUGCCUUCUCAUCGGAUCACUACUCGGUCGUCGCAUGCGUCUCGCGUGUUUCGUCCUCUUGAGAGUCUCCGUCUGGGUCUGCACGCGAUGAAGCCCAUAGCUUCUUGUUUUAUCCCUUUUCGUCUCCGUACCACCGAUGUACGCGUUUCGGGCCCCGCAGGAAUUCAAGAACGCGGCACAUG